ACUCUGUACUGGGUAUUUGGGCAGUGGAGUCGCUGGAACAUGAGGUGCAACAAAAUGUUUCUCCCCUUCAUCUUCCUCCUCUCCCUGCGGCCGACUCUCCCGACUCACCCGCGCCAUCACCGCACUCACGACUUGGCGCUUGGGGA